CAAAUUGCAUAUCCAUAGCGGUAGCGUCCUGAAAUAUUCAAGAGGUUGUUACACAAAAGAAAGCAGCAGCAGAGCAGAGCAGAAUUGCAGAGAAAGAGCCGUUAUCCUUAGAUGUGAUAUUCGACUCAGCAAGCUUGAGAACAAGAAACCCUUGAUAAACGGCUUUAGUAGCUUAAGGUAUCAAUUAGAGGGAUGAGACGUGAUAGAAAUUCGACACUCUCAAGCAUUUUAACAAGUUUAAGGAAUAUGAAUCGCAAGACGUAAAAGAGGCUCCUACACUUGAUAGUCUGUGGUUGUUCAAAGGCAGCGUAUCCACUUUUUAUGUACAUGAAUAAGUUGAAUAGCGUACAGUUCCUCACGAUGUUAAAGAGAUUUUCUGAGCUAAGACUGUCGCUUACAGCCGCGAAGACUGCGUCUUGCAAUAACAUGUACUUAACCGGCAUUUUUUCCUCCCUUCAGCCAUCAUACUAUUGCUUUUCAUUGCAAUUAUUAGCAAACAUGUGAAGCAAUAGAAACAGUAUUAAUGGAACAGUUCAUAUGCGGCUAGAGAGUUGAAGUUUAAGAGAGUGGGAAAUGUUUUAGGAAAAAAUUUGAUUUGUUUUACGAGGCAAACGGUUAACACAAAGAAAUAAGGAGUAGAGUCAGUCGUCAAGCUAUUACAUAAAUUAGAGUUUACGUUGGUUCACUGAUUUUAUAAAGGCAUGAAAAUGAAACAGGGAAGGAAGUUGCCCUGCUUUGGAUACUUCUUUCUAAAUUUCAAGGAGACAUCUCCGAAUAAACUGCGAACUACAUGAAUAAAUGUUAAAUUGUCAACUGAAAUCAAUUACGCUUUAAUUUUUAUGUAUGAAACAGCUGCCAAGUUGAGACAAAUCCAUGACCACGUGCGUACGUGCGUGUUGGGUGAAUAAUUCAGCAUCUACCUUACACCCCCUGUCAAAACUUGGUGUAUAGGCACUUUGAGAACAGCGAAACUAACUUUGGACAGGGAGCGGUGGGGCGCAAGAUCUCAACAUCGUCUGUCCGGGAUUGUAGGUCACAUAUUAAAACAUUGCCUUGCUGCAUUUUCAUGCCAAAUUUAUUGCUUUUUCGUAUACUUCAAACCAAAGUUUAUUAUCGGACAUAUAUUCAGUCGGCAAAAAUGGAUAUACAGAGGACAAAUGCAAAUUUUGGGUUGUAGAGCAAACCUCCAAACCAAUUUUCGACCAUAAGCUGCUCAUACUAUGACUUGAAGGAGACAUCAUUGAGUUUAGUGAUAAACCACAUCAAUGAAAGUGACACUGCAUUUAAACGUGGUGGCUAAUUUGGAACGACUACAUCAAAGCCCGGACGGAGUUCAUUUUAAUGAGAAACUAUGGGGUCGUCCCAGUAAACUUUUCCUAUCUGUCCAUGAUAGAUUAGAGAAUGACACUUGCGCAUUUAAAGCGGAAUUCACGACAGGAUGUCGAUUCGUUUGCAUUCACGAACUUUAAAAUUUACCUUUAAGCGUUGCAGCAUGUUUUCCCUUUUUGGAAAGUUGUCUCUGUUUUGGAGUUGAAGGAAAAUACUGAGAUUCGAAGCUUCAUCUUUUGGAGCAACGUUUCGUUGUGGCAAAACAAACAAAAUAUGCAAGAAUUUUUGUGUGUGUUAAGAAUAGCAUUAAAAAAAUAUUUCCUAAAAUACUGCUUUCCAGGGCGAACAUAUAACUUACCCUUUCUGUCUUUGGGAGGCGAUCCUCGAAAUCGAUGUAGCUGUAAAAAGAGCUACGAUCAUCAGCGUCCCCAGUACCACUACCCGUCGUUUCGUCAAAUUGAAAUUUCAUUUCAGUUUUUGAAUCUUUGAAUGGCACGCACCAUGACGUUUGUAUUAAGACCAGCCAAAAUAAAACCGCGUAGCUUGCAUGUAAAAUGUUCUUAAACAUGAUUUGAAAUAAAACAACAAAAUCCAACGAAUCAGUAUACUCUAGCCAAGAGUGAAUGAAAAGUUGAGUAAUUGCCACGCGUAGAAAACGUUAAAA